AUUGAACGCUGGCGGCAGGCCUAACACAUGCAAGUCGAGCGGAUGAAGGGAGCUUGCUCCUGGCUUCAGCGGCGGACGGGUGAGUAAUGCCUAGGAGUCUGCCUUGUAGUGGGGGAUAACGUCCCGAAACGGGCGCUAAUACCGCAUACGUCCUGAUGUAGAAAGUGGGGGAUCUUCGGACCUCUCGCUAUCAGCUGAGCCUAGGUCGGAUUAGCUCGUUGGUGGGGUAACGGCGUACCAAGGCGACGAUCCGUAACUGGUCUGAGAGGCUGAUCAGUCACCCUGGAACUGAGACACGGUCCAGACUCCUACGGGAGGCAGCAGUGGGGAAUAGUGGACAAUGGGCGAAAGCCUGAUCCAGCCAUGCCGAGUGUGUGAAGAAGGUCUUCGGAUUGUAAAGCACUUUAAGUUGGGAGGAAGGGAAGUAAGUUAAUACCUUGCUGUUUUGACGGUACCAACAGAAAAAGCAACGGCUAACUUCGUG
rnacentral:rRNA from 1 species